AGCAGAUAGGCUCAUGUCCCGUGUGGAAUAGGAGCCUGUGCCCACAAGCUGCUCAGUGACUCGGCCUGUGUCCCCUCCCCUGGCGCUGCAGCCCCUGGAGGAGGACCUCUGCUAUGCCAACCUGUCCGUGCUGCGGCCCAGAUCUUCCCCCGGCUCCUCCCGGAAGAAGGCCUCGGCCCAGGCUGACCAGGAGGAAGUGGAAUAUGUCACCAUGCCCCCCUUCCCGCGGGAGGAGAUUUCCUACGCAUCUCUGUCUUUGGACCUCUUGGACCUGGAGCCCACCUACAGCAACACAGGCCACAUUCCCAGCAGGGACCACGCCGAGCCCACAGAGUACAGCGUCAUCCGGAAGUCUUAGCCUGGUCCCUGGCUCCCCCUUGGACCCGCACCAGGCCUCCGCCUGUCCCUCCUCAUCUGCUUUCUGCCCCAGCUCCCCCAUCAGGACCAACCAGUGGCUGAGGCUCCACCUGAUCAGCCACCAGGGCCUGCAGCUCUAACCUGGGCUUGGGGCCCAGCCUCAGGGGGCUUUAGGGAACUAGUAGCCCCUCCACAUCUCCUCCUCUCCCACACAGACUGGGAGAGGGGUGAGGAUAGGCUCUGGGGUGGCCAUGGGAACAGUAAUGGUAAUGAUAAUCAUGGCAAUCAACCUUUAUUUAUUGCUUACUGUGUUCGGGGGACAGAAGGCCCCCAAAGACGUCCAUAUCCUAAUUUCCAGAACCUGUGAAUACGCCUUCUGUGGCAAAUGAUGCUGCACGUGGGAUUAAGUUAAGGAAUUAGCGGUGGAGAGAUUAUUCUGGAUUAUCCAGUGGGCUCCAAAUACAAUCACAAGGGCCCUCCUACGAGGGAGGAGGAGGUCAGAAGGGGAGAAGGCAAAGUGCCUCCGGAAGUGGAGGUUGGAGCAGCACGGCCAGGAGUCAAGAAGGCUGCAGCCUCCAGAACCUGGAGCCUCCAAAAGGAGCCAGCCCCCGACAUCUGUGGAACUGACUUUGUACUUUCGGCCCCCCAAACUGUAGAGGAAUAAAUCUGUAUUGUUUAAAGUUAA